ACCAUGAGAGAAUGGACAUGAUCUUUGGCUAAGAUACCUCAUGCAGGGCUGCUGAAGACAUAUGAGAGACAGCAUGUUGAUCUUCCCUGUGGCUGGAGAGUCUCCCCUGGGAUGUUGACCCUUGAACUUGUGUCUACCAUGAGAGACUUGACCUGAGCUUUGGCUAAGAUACCUCAUACAGACAAGAGCAUGUCGUCCUCUGAGAGCCCCCCUCCACCCACAGCAGCUGACUCAGA